UACCAGAAGCCAAAGCCAGGCAUCUCCGCAGAACAUGGCAUGAUGUGACAGGAAGGCAGCAGGCGCGCAAAUGACCCACUCCACGCGGGAAGGUAGUGACGACAAAUAACAAUACAGGAUUCUUUAGAGGCCCUGUAAUUGUAAUGAGUCCACUUGAAAUCCUUUAACUCUGAUCAAUUGGAGGGAAGUCUGGUGCAGAGCCACUGACCCGUGCGUGCUGCAGCUGAAACUCAACUAUCGCCUGCUGCUG